AGCUUUGCGCAGUGGCAGUAUUGUAGCCAAUGAGGUUUAUCCAAGGCGCGAUAAUUGCUAAUAGGAACAUUGAUGGUUGGGACGCCUGGGUGGCUCAGUCAGUUAAACAUCUACCUUCGGCUCAGGUCA
rnacentral:snRNA from 1 species